CCGCCCAGUACCCUACCCUGAACUAUAGUCUCUGUUACUAGCAAACUACCACCCAGUCAGUGCUGGGAGGUGUGUCUUUCACUUCUGCCAGCCAAUCAGCAGUCAGUGCUGCUGGGAGGUGUGUCUUUCACCUCUGCUCGGCAUUUAGUGUUAUUGAUCUUCAGUCUCUGCUGUUUUCUCAGCAGCAGCUACAAGCGGUGGUGUUGUCACCAAGACGGUCUGCCAAGUUAUUCAAGGAAAGAUGACCUCCGCUAUGUUGGCCGCAACCCUUCUAAUUUAGUGCACCCUGCGCCAAACAACCCA
ensembl:lncRNA